rnacentral:rRNA from 1 species
GGUUGUGCCCUUGAGGCGUGGCUUCCGGAGCUAACGCGUUAAAUCGACCGCCUGGGGAGUACGGCCGCAAGGUUAAAACUCAAAUGAAUUGACGGGGGCCCGCACAAGCGGUGGAGCAUGUGGUUUAAUUCGAUGCAACGCGAAGAACCUUACCUGGUCUUGACAUCCACAGAACUUUCCAGAGAUGGAUUGGUGCCUUCGGGAACUGUGAGACAGGUGCUGCAUGGCUGUCGUCAGCUCGUGUUGUGAAAUGUUGGGUUAAGUCCCGCAACGAGCGCAACCCUUAUCCUUUGUUGCCAGCGGUUAGGCCGGGAACUCA